UCCCUCCUCUUCUGUCUCUCUCAUCAUCCCUUCCUCAUGAAGCAAACCCCAUAUCCUUCCUCUCGUCGCCUCCGCCCCUUCUCCUCCCUGUUCCUCUCUCCUAGCCGAGCUCCAGCCUUGCUCGUCAUCCCUUCCUCUUGAGAAAGAGCACGGGCCCAUCGUUGUGCCUCAAUCGCCACAAGGACAUCGGGUGGAGGGGAUCUGGUGCGGACGGCGCACGUCUCGGCCCUGUAGCAGGAGCGGGAGGUGUCGGCGGCCCAUCGUUGCGCCUCAGUCGCCACAAGGACAUCGGGUGGAGGGGAUCCGGUGCGGACGGCGCACGUCUCGGCCCCGUGGCAGGAGCGGGGGUGUCGGCGGCGGAGAUGGUCGAUGGGGAGCCUCUUCUUCCCGCGAUCUGGUUCUCCCCAUUCAUGGCCAUUGGCAGGAGGGUCCCCUCGGAUUUAUUCCAUCCUCGGAGGAGGCAACCGCCCUAGGAGGGGCGGUGCACGGGCACGGCUAGCAUGGUGGUCGUGAUGUUGUUCCGCGACUGGUUCGCCUUCGGGUCGGCGCCACAGAUGAGGCCUGCUGUUGCGACCUUGCCCUCGUUCCCGCGGUGACGGACUACCCCCCAAGAUGAAUGGCCUCUUCAAUUCGAAGCCACCGACUAUGCCAUGCGCGAGCUCGUCAUCUAUGUCGACCUCCACUCUGGCUCACGUGGCGCCGACGCCAAGCGGGAGGAGAAGAGGAUAAUGCCCAACUCAUUUGAUGGGUCACUUGACUUCUUUACGGUUAUGCCACCUAAUCCGUUGGAUAUAUCCAAGGAUGAGGAGCACUGCUUAUUGUCCCUUUUAGUUGAGUAUUUAGAGCAAUGUGAGGGACAUUGGGACCCAGAGAGAGUUCCAGAAUCAAUGUACAAGCAUUUGCAACUACUGCUUCAUAUCAUGUUGCAUUUACAAGUUAAUAUCAUCUGUGAGCAAGCGUACACUUUGGCUAAAGCUGUUGUGGCAAGUUCUGGUGCGUUUGAUGAGAAUUUUGCGGAGAUUGAUGCAUGGUUUGGUUUUCUUGCCUGGUUGUGAAGCCAAAAUUGUGUGUAGAGCCUAGAAGUUCGAUUAUCUAAUAAAUUGGCACACAUUGUGAUCCCUUUCAUCUGCGAUGUUGUCUCAGUGGUUGGAACAAUCUGUACAAAUACCAAGAGCACAUGCGGAAGUUCAUCUUUUAAAUCAGGCCAACUUGAAGGUACUAUUUUCUUUGGUGACAUGAAUGAUAGUAUUACGCUUUUCUGAAAUUCAUCUCAUAUGGUUUCACUUUCUUAUUGAUCAUUAGCUGGUUUGCUUGGUUGUUAGGUUCCAUCUGAUCUGAUACAAUGCCAUAUAUCUAUGUUAUCGGUACCUGUAGGUUGUGGUGCAAAACAACAUGGAAAAUAGAUGGCUGAUUUUCAGUAAACUUUUCACGCGUCACCUGAAAUUCAAGGAGUUGAGAAACUAAUAUUUGUGUUGUUCUGUGCUGACAUCCUCAUACGACCUUAAUUCCAAGGUCCUUAGUUGCUUAAUUACGUCCGCUUAUGUAUCUUCGUUUUGGUGUCUCUGGAUUAUUAUUAGUGCAGUUCAGUAGUAGUCAUUCUUGGCACUGCUAAAUUCUAUUUGGAAUGCCGGCAUAAGUACUAAAACAAAAACAACCUUAUAUAACUUCUUGUGCAUCAUCAUAUGCGUGUCUGGACCACUUCAGGGAGGCAUGUUGUGGAAGCAUCAGGUUGAAGGCUUGUGCUAAGUGGGAGAUAUGGUGAAAGCAGAAAAGGGGAAAGGCUCCAGAUUGUUGGAUUGGGACUCUGCAUGGAAAAUGUUUGUUGGCUUGACAGGCUAGGAUUGGGCACUUCUCUGGGUUGCUCUUUGCUUAUACAGGCAAAAAGUUAUAUUGCAUUUCUACUGACUACAGUUCAUCUCUACAUUCUAGCACGUAUGUUAAUUGAAGAGCUUUUCUCAUUGUCAUAGAAGAUAAUUUGAUAGAUUCAAAACAUAUCUAUCUAUUUUUGCUAAUUUCUUUGUUUCUUAAGUAGAUGGUAAUUUCUUUAAAAAAGGAAGUAGGAUGGAUGUUUAUAUAAAGAGAAUUUUUGUACAUGGGUACCUUUAUUUACUGUCGUUUGGAGUGAAAUAAUAGCAAGUUCUAGAAAUUAGAAGGAUUUCGAUGCUAAUCCUGAGACACCAAAGGAUUGCACUAUUAGUAGCGGUCUGAAUGUAAGGAAACAAGUUGUUUUACGGAAGAUAAGAAUAUUUAUCUGUUUGUGGUGAUAGAAUAUCUUUUUGGGUUUGUAAGACACUAAGACUAUGGUGACAACUACAUAUCUCUGGAUUAGGUUGACGUUUACCUAAUGCCCAUAUAUUCUGUCUUGUUCAUGUUUCAUGCAGGUUUCUCUGUGAAGAUUUGGGUUGUUAGUGAUGUUCAAGUCCAAUGGUAUCCUGCAUAAAUGCACUGCUAUGUUGGUUUCCUCAAUCCAGAUAGUUGCAUGGGUGUAGUCACUUGUGUAUAAGCAACAAAAUAUAUUGCACUUCUACUGAUCAUAGUUCAUCUCUACAUUCUCAGCAGCAUGCUGAUGUUGUUGAUCACGGAUGGAGCCAUUAGUACAAUGAGUGCCGCCAUUGCGCUGCUCUCUUUGGCAAUCUCACGGCUUCUCAGGGUUGAGUGAGGCAAAGAGCCCUCGAUGUGCAGCUCUUGCCUCUCUUCUACUGCACCAUCCAUCACAGAGCAGGUCAAACGCUCAGCCAGCAUAACCAUGUUAAGGAAGGGCACCAUAUAUCUUUCCAAUAUUCAGUUAAAAAAACUUUUCUUGCAUAAAUGUUGCUGGGUUGUUUCUGAGGUAAGAUACGUACCUUGGAUAUGAUACUCACUUUGCUGGGUCUCAUGUACGAAUAUUAUUUCUACAGGAACACAUUUUCUUGUCCUCUGUGCACAUUGAUACAUUGUCGGUCCCUGAUUUUGGUGAAUACUGAUUAUGUCUUCGCUUUUGUACUACUGCUGCUAUCAUGUCAAGUUAUAAAUCGUCUCUGGGCCUAAUCUAUUAUUUUACAUUAUCAGAUCAAAACAAUUGUCUUCCGAUUUAUCCAUUUGGGAAUCAAUUCUUGGAAUUUCCUGCUGGAAUUCCUUUGGUUUCCCUUUAUUGUCUUCAGACAACUCCUUCUCCAUCACCUCCGUUGUUUGCUUCAAAAACAGUAAUCACAUGCCAGCCUCUUAUGGUGUGUCUUCUUCAACAUUAACAAUAAAAUCUAAUAUUCAACUUUUCUGUCUGAUUAAAUAUUGCCUGUAAUUUUGCAUUUUAGAUAAGAAUUGCCUCAUUCUUAGUUGAUGGAGUUGCGCCUCACAGUGCCACAUUUGCUGACUCCUCGGUUAACAGUUUGUCGUGUACUCUCAAAGAGUUUGAUCUAUCAGUUCCAUUUGAUGCUGAAGAAAUUGUAAAGUGCAGUGCAACUAGGACCGCUUGCUCCGAGUAAUCAUUUUCAUCAGCAAGACUUCAUGUAGAGGACCUACACUUUUGUGAAUCACCAUCGGCAAAGUGUACACUGCUAAACCUUGACAAAGAUACCGCUUGCUUCCUUUUUAGAUAUACAUAGCGUUAAGAUUGUUCUUUUUUUUGCUGAAUUUGAUUACUUUUGAACAAGCCACCGUAUGUAAUGUAGCUUCUAUAUAACCUGCUGCCACUUUCCUAAGUUUGAUCUGCUUCUAAAUCCAUGGUUUAUCCUGGCUUACUGCUGCCUAAUAUGCACGUGAUAGUAUAAACAGGACAGUGAAAGGGGCGCCUCCCACCUGGCACCGCCCAACUUCCACUCAGGCGGCGCCACAGUUGGCGCCCCAACCGCUAGUUGUUGUGAAGCUUAGCUUGUAUGAGAGUCAUAGAGAAGCUGUGGUGUCUUUUUAAGCUAACAAGGCGAACCAUAUUUCCACCAAAGAUCUAAAGACCAUCACCACGCUAGUCCUAUGGGAACUGUGGAAGCACCGCAAUGCGAUAGUCUUUGAUGGAGAAACACCGUCACUUCAGCUGCUGCUCCGGAACAUCGAGCGCAAAGAGCGGAUUUGGAGGUCGGCGGGACUCUUGAAGAGUGAUCCCGACUCCUUUGGUAGUAUUGCUAGGCGGGUAGGCGGCGAGUAAUCCCUUAUAGUGUUAUCAUGUGGCAUGGAGGUCCACGGACCUUGUAAAUAAUAUGUAAACCUUGUGGAGGGUUUCUUCACCCUUUUCUUCUGCAAUAUAUGAUAUGCACACUCGUGCAUAUUCUAGAAAAAGGAUAAAAAGUAAGUUACCCUUGUACAUUUGUAAGUAAUUUGUAGAAGGCUGCAUGCAACUUGCGCAGUUUGUAGCUGUGGACAAAACUGUCAUUUCAUUGGAAAAUGUAGCAUUGCUGAUGGUUGUGCAUGACUCACUUCAUACCAUGAUAUGACUUAUUAGUUCAUCGAAAAAUAGAAGAGACCUGGACUCUGUCUCAAUAUUUAGUUUCUUCUCUUAUGUUGCUUGUGGCCAUCUCUUGUUUUUUAUUAGCACCCUAAAUAUUUCCCACUGAGAAACAUUGUUUUAACAUUUCUAGUUUGAGGAUAUUCCCCGCUUCACUCUUUUGGAAGGAAUGAAGCAUGAAUUUUAUUUAUCCAAGUACAGCUAAUGCCAGUACAAUUUAGUGAUUACUAUUUGGUUGCCUGUCGAAGCCAAUGAGUUCUCUUAUCUUUAUAUCUAAAACAUAACGGAGCACCAAAUUUAUGAAGGCUAAUUGGCUAAUUAAUCAAAAGGAGAGAAGAAAGUGAAAUAAUAUUUUGUUUGUAAAAUAUUGCAGCAUGCAUCUUUAUGCUUUUGUUUUUGAUCAACAUGUGUUCCAUGGCUUUAUGGCAGAUUUGAAAGUGAUAUGCUUUGUCUUUUAGGGUGUUACUAUGGGGUGGAGGAAAGGAGAGGAGAGAGGAAAGAUUUGAAAGUGAUAUGCUUGCCUUUUAGGGUGUUACUAUGGGGCGGAGGAAAGGAGAGGAGAGAUCAAGGUGCUGUUUGCAAGCGAUGCAAAACUUACAUGUAUAAAUAGUUUCACGUCUCAAUAUUUCCAUACAAGCCCUCAAAGCGCCCUUUCCAUAUUUACAUACAAAAGGAUCAUUGCCAAGCAAAGAUGACUUGACUCCAUUUUUGGCACACUCGUCUCUCAUGACUUCUGAAAAUAAUUGCAACAUGGCCAUUCGUUGCACAUCCCUGUUCGCUAUAUGUAUUCGUCUUCAUCUUAGUUCAUUGUGAAUUAUGAAACUGUUUUUCACAUGAGAUAUAUUGGCUACAAAAAACGUUGAACAACUCUAUGACUUAUUUUUAAACAGGGGAAAUAUGUCAUGAGAUGAAUUCUUGGCGCAGGUGCGAGUAGUUCAAAAAGGAUCUAUGGGAGAUUCCAUGGAAGUCAUGCUGGAAAGAGGCGAAUUCUAUGCCAACCCUGCUGUGUGUAUAUGUGAAGAGACUAAAGAUGGCCCCUCUACUGCACGAGAGAAGAAUUCCAAAGAUGAUCCCACCGGGACAGAAGAGGUGAUUGAUAUUGGGGCUGGCGGUGAUUCUUUGGUCAGAUUGGAGGUUUGUGAGCUGGAAGUCAUCCUGAUUAGUUGAGAUAUAUUGCAGCUCAGACGAAUCAGUUAAGUUAUUUGCAUACUAGUGGUGUAUGUGGUAUACUAAAAAUUCAGAGAAUUUCUGAUUUUAUUUGGAUGGAUUUUGGUUUAUGCAUGAACUGUACUUCUUAAUAUACUGGAUCUUAUUUUGGCUUGCAAUGGGUUUCACUAAAUUUUCAUUGGAA